rnacentral:ncRNA from 1 species
AACUUCAUACACGGGUGUCUUCGUUGGAGAGAAAAGCGAAGGCUGAGAUGCACAAGCGAACCGUUGAACCUGAUCCGGGUAAUGCCGGCGUUUAGGAAGGAAUGUAAGCGUAUGAA